UACUCAUCGAGCUGAGGCCUCGUAUGCAGCAAGGCGUAUUUCUUACGUGCUGCUCAGAAAGGUCUAAAACGUAGUGAACGCUGAAGAAAAGAGUACAGAAAUAUUAAAACAAUAAUGUCCUGUUAGAUAUAUACAUGUGGCCUACAUAGAUCUGUUAUAAAGAAAGGAGGAAAGUGAUUCUGUUUGAAGAUCUACUAUUAGUAUUUAUUGAUUCAAGGUCCAGUCAAGUUAUUACUAUCUAUAGUUUGAACAUCAAUAAUGUCUAAAAUCAAUAUAUUUAUUUGAGAAUUGUCCAGUCCUUGUGAUCAUUGUCCAGUCCUUGGGAUCAUUGACUGUCCAGUCCUUGGGAUCAUUGACUGUCCAGUCCUUGGGAUCAUUGUCCAGUCCUUGGGAUCAUUGUCCAGUCAAUUUCAUGCUUGUCCAGUUGAGUUGUUAUUAUAGAGAUGCUUUAGAUGGUGGCACUGUCUUACUGACAGAUUUCGUUGACUUCAGACGUACUUUCAUCAGUUUUAAUCAAUUAAGUAUGUAUUGUAUAAUAUAUGUUUUUAGCUCACCUGGCUUUUCUCAUCACUUGGCGUCAGUUGUCCAUCGUUGUAGUUGUUAACUUUUACAAAAAUCUUCUCCUCCAAAAC